ACAGCAGUCGCCGCGGGAAUACGUAGGGUGCGAGCGUUAAUCGGAAUUACUGGGCGUAAAGCGUGCGCAGGCGGUUGUGUAAGACAGGUGUGAAAUCCCCGGGCUUAACCUGGGAACUGCGCUUGUGACUGCACAGCUAGAGUAUGGCAGAGGGGGGUGGAAUUCCACGUGUAGCAGUGAAAUGCGUAGAGAUGUGGAGGAACACCGAUGGCGAAGGCAGCCCCCUGGGCCAAUACUGACGCUCAUGCACGAAAGCGUGAGGAGCAAACAGGAUUAGAUACCCGCGUAGUCCCUGUCUCUUAUAC
rnacentral:rRNA from 1 species